CUCAGAUUCACUCCCGCGUACGCAUCUCCCUCUCCGCAGUGCCCACCCAACGUUCACCCCUCCACUCCUCUGCCCAGCGCCUUUCCCUCUUCCCGGCGCCCUGAGUUCGUCUCUCACCUCUGCACAGCUUCCUAGUGCAUCAUUUGACUCAACAGUGAAUUUAUGGGAUGUGGAACUUGGGAAACUUAUCCACAGCUUGAAAGACACAGGCAUAUCUGUUGAAGAAAAUCCUUUAGAUAUUACAGAGAAUCAAUUGUAUUCUUUCUCCACGACAAUCAAAAUCCCACGCCUGAACCUCCCGGAUGUCGUUGUAGCUGAUUGUCUUGCUAGUCAAGAUCUGGCCUCUAAUUAUCGGAUGCCCAAGCAUGCACGGACUUAGCUCUGCUGACAAUAUGCACGAUGCCAAAGAAAUCCAGCAACUAAAUUCACCGACCAUCUUCAUCUUUAUCCAAGGAAGCUGAUAAAUAGCUCAGGAUGAAUCCAUCCAGAUCUCCUUCAAGGACAGAAUCAGGAUCCGAAACUUCAUAGCUGGUUCGGAGAUCUUUAACCAUGCGGUAGUUAAUGAAAGAAAGUCUUAUUGCAUACAUGAAGCACAUAACUACGUAUCUGGCUGCCCCAAGUAAUGUCAGUGAGUGAUUGUGUAUGUUGCGCAUUCAUCUGAGCCUGGCGAGCCAUCUCAAGCUGGUCCACUCGAGACUGAAGCACGGCCAUUGCUGAAGCCUUGUUUUGAUGUUGUGAUCUGUGUUCAGAACAAAAUUGUAUCUUUUGGAAUUGAGACUUCGAAAUCCACCCAACAAAAAACUAAAGCAGGAAGGAAUGUGAACUAUCCUCACAGCACUCUCAGUCGUAUUAACAUGCUGGCCACCAGCUCCCCCAGCACGAAAUCGCUCAAUACGGAGAUCAGAGUCACUAAUUUGUACAUGGGUAGAUCCAUCACCCGAGAUUGGAAUUACAGCA